UGAUUGUAUAAAAUCCAAACUCUUCCUUCCUUGGAUUAAAGACCUAAGCCUGAUCUCUCCUGUAGUUUUAUCGUCCAUAGAAUAACAUUGCUCCUUCCACACAGCUAUGUAUAUAUAUGGUUUUGACGAAACCCUAAACUUCUUAUAUAAUAAUUGCAAUCCUCAUGAAACAAACCCAUUUCAACUUCCCUUCAUCUAUUCUCUUCAUUCUCUUACUGCUCUCUCUCUCCCAUCUCACUCCUCUUUCAUGUCUGCCUCUCAUGAGAACAAAACUCCAAGAUGCUGAACUCCUCAAAGUUAGUAGAUCAUCAUCAGAUGCUCAAAUCAUGUCAUUUAGGAAAGAGUUACAUGAAGUACACUCAGGACCCAAUCCUAUUGGUAAUUCAAUUCCACAGCAGAAAUGGGCAAAGAGGUCACCAAAAUCUCCAUGAUUUUACUUUCUCAUCAGUUUCUCUCUCUGGCGAUUAUUGAUUCUUCUGCAUAGAAUUAGUGUUAACUGAGAUAUAAUUACAUGAUUAAAAAUAUAUAAUUACUGGUUUAGAUUGUUUAUUAGAAUUGGGUUUUGAGUAUUUAGCUUGUUGUUAUCAUUAUUAAUUAAUUAAUUAUACUGAUAUUGUUUAUCUCUUAAUUUCUUCGGAAAUAUAAAAUAAUAUAAUUUAAUGUUUUAA